rnacentral:rRNA from 1 species
GACGAACGCUGGCGGCGUGCUUAACACAUGCAAGUCGAGCGGAAAGGCCCUGCUUUUGUGGGGUGCUCGAGUGGCGAACGGGUGAGUAACACGUGAGUAACCUGCCCUUGACUUUGGGAUAACUUCAGGAAACUAGGGCUAAUACCGGAUAGGAGCUCCUGCUGCAUGGUGGGGGUUGGAAAGUUUCGGCGGUUGGGGAUGGACUCGCGGCUUAUCAGCUUGUUGGUGGGGUAGUGGCUUACCAAGGCUUUGACGGGUAGCCGGCCUGAGAGGGUGACCGGCCACAUUGGGACUGAGAUACGGCCCAGACUCCUACGGGAGGCAGCAGUGGGGAAUAUUGCACAAUGGGCGGAAGCCUGAUGCAGCAACGCCGCGUGCGGGAUGACGGCCUUCGGGUUGUAAACCGCUUUCGCCUGUGACGAAGCGUGAGUGACGGUAAUGGGUAAAGAAGCACCGGCUAACUACGUG